AUUGAACGCUGGCGGCGUGCUUAACACAUGCAAGUCGAGCGGCAGCGCGGGAGCAAUCCUGGCGGCGAGCGGCGAACGGGUGAGUAAUGCUUCGGAAUCUACCUCGUAGUGGGGAAUAACCAGUCGAAAGAUUGGCUAAUACCGCAUACGAACUACGGUUGAAAGCGGGGGAUCGCAAGACCUCGCGCUAUGAGAUGAGCCGAAGUCGGAUUAGCUAGUUGGUGAGGUAACGGCUCACCAAGGCGACGAUCCGUAGCUGGUCUGAGAGGACGACCAGCCACACUGGGACGGAGACACGGCCCAGAGUCCUACGGGAGGCAGCAGUGGGGAAUAUUGGACAAGGGGGGCAACCCUGAUCCAGCGACGCCGCGUGUGUGAAGCAGGCCUGCGGGUUGUAAAGCACUUGUAGUGGGGAGGAAAUGCUCAGACCUAACACGUCUGGGAACUGACUUAACCCAAAGAAAAAGCACCGGCUAACUCUGUGCCAGCCGCCGCCGUAAAAC
rnacentral:rRNA from 1 species